ACGCUGGCGGCAGGCUUAACACAUGCAAGUCGAACGGUAACAGGAAUUAGCUUGCUAAUUUGCUGACGAGUGGCGGACGGGUGAGUAAUGCUUGGGAAUCUGGCUUAUGGAGGGGGAUAACUACGGGAAACUGUAGCUAAUACCGCGUAAAAUCUUCGGAUUAAAGGGUGGGACUUUCGAGCCACCUGCCAUAAGAUGAGCCCAAGUGGGAUUAGGUAGUUGGUUAGGUAUAGGCUGACCAAGCCGACGAUCUCUAGCUGGUCUGAGAGGAUGACCAGCCACACUGGAACUGAGACACGGUCCAGACUCCUACGGGAGGCAGCAGUGGGGAAUAUUGCACAAUGGGGGGAACCCUGAUGCAGCCAUGCCGCGUGAAUGAAGAAGGCCUUCGGGUUGUAAAGUUCUUUCGGUGACGAGGAAGGUUGAUAGGUUAAUAGCCUAUCAAAUUGACGUUAAUCACAGAAGAAGCACCGGCUAACUCCGUGCCAGCAGCCGCGGUAAUACGGGGGGUGCGAGCGUUAAUCGGAAUAACUGGGCGUAAAGGGCACGCAGGCGGUGACUUAAGUGAGAUGUGAAAGCCCCGAGCUUAACUUGGGAAUUGCAUUUCAUACUGGGUCGCUAGAGUACUUUAGGGAGGGGUAGAAUUCCACGUGUAGCGGUGAAAUGCGUAGAGAUGUGGAGGAAUACCGAAGGCGAAGGCAGCCCCUUGGGAAUGUACUGACGCUCAUGUGCGAAAGCGUGGGGAGCAAACAGGAUUAGAUACCCUGGUAGUCCACGCUGUAAACGAUGUCGAUUUGGGGAUUGGGCUUUGAGCUUGGUGCCCGUAGCUAACGUGAUAAAUCGACCGCCUGGGGAGUACGGCCGCAAGGUUAAAACUCAAAUGAAUUGACGGGGGCCCGCACAAGCGGUG
rnacentral:rRNA from 1 species